ensembl:lncRNA
AGGCCUACUAUGUCUGACAUUCUGGAAGGAGGCCCAGUGGUCUGUAGCGUAACAAGCGCACCAGGUGAUUCUGAUGUGCUGCUCAAGUUUAAGAACCACUAACUUAAAGAACCAACACAAACUAUGGCUCCUGAUCUUCCCUCUCUACUUUCUCCAAAAUCUAUCCCACGUCUUCAUUUUUUAAUUCAGAAUGGGAGAAGAGGCAGAUGCAAAGUUAGAGGAAAAGGAGUAAGAGAUAAGCUCUUCUCUCUCCUACAUGUAUAUUCAGAGCCUGAAGCUGUUAUUAGGAAAGCACAGUCCUCUCCUGGAGUGACUGUCGCAGACUUCCUUUAUAUCACUGGUCAACUGUGGCUGCAGGAAGUCUGGGAAACCAGGAGGGCAGAGGCCUGUGGUUGACUUCAACAGAUCAUGAGUCUCUGUCUGGGACCAGGCGCACCAUUUUCAGAAUUAAAUUGAGAUUCUUUCAACAAAGAAGAGGAGGGUGUGUAUCAGUGACUCCAGAAGUGGUCGCUUCAAUCUGCAAAGACUGUCAAAGAGACUACCUGCACUCUUCCCCUGAUGUGGAGCCUUUAUGGGCUUUUAUCAUGGUCUUAUCAGACUCAUCACAUUCAGGUCCUUCCAGUUGUGCUGUCUGGGAUGCCACCUCUGCAAUGGCCUGAUGAGCAGUGCUAGGUCUGCGCCCAGGAUCUGAACUGGCGAAACCCUGGGCCACUGAAGUGGAGCACGCAAACCCAACCACUUGGCCACGGGGUCAGCCCCAAAAUACAUUGUUUUUAUGUAAGAAUUUCAGUUUAUUUCCUUUUAAAAUUAUGUCUAGUUAACAGACCUUGACUUUUACCUCAAAACGCUCAAAUUUUCAUUUGAAACUCAAGAUGAGCAAAACAAAAUCAAAUACCAACUAACUCUGGAACCAAUCAAAUGCCUAAAAUCUCAGAGGAAUUUUGCUAACUAUAAAUGAUAAAAGUAGUGGAAGAAAAAUAGUUUGUCGCCUGCUCGUGCUUGACCUCAUGAAAAGAGCAAACCACUCAUCUAUGAGGAUUACAGAAGAGAGAAUUUGGCCUUCUCCCACUUCCUGUCCACUAACUCAUGGGAACAGAUUUGUACCAACGAGAAAGCUGCGUAGUCCUCCCUCUCCCACAUGGGAAACAUUUCUACGUUGCCCUCCUUCUUUCCACUUUUAUGUCGCUCACUUUCAACAUUCCACUGCCUAAGAUGGCCAAACCUCUUGCCUGCAUCAUGGUAGAGACGGCAGCUCCCAUAAAGACUCCCUAAGGUCCAGCAGAUCUACAGGAGAGGAAAGCAGGCUAGAUAUCAGCACUGGGCUAAAGGAACAGCACCUCUCCUCCAGCUGUAAGUCUAAGAACAGGAUUUGGUCCACAUCCAAAUGGAAAUGGAGUAGCGACAUAGGCAAUCUAAAUUUUUUCCCAGGUGGCAAGUUCUAAGUAUGAUCAGAUAACUUCUCUUUUGAAGAAGAGUAAACAGGAAACAACGGCAAAAUUAACAAUAAUAAAAUGUGUGAUGUUUUGGAAGAAAGUCACACAGUAAAAGGAAUAACACAAUUCUAAAAAUUAUUAGUACAUCAGUAAUUAGAAGAAACUUUAAAAACUUGUACCUGUAAGAUAAGGAAGAUGACAUAUCUAUGAAGCUGGAACAAAAAGUAAUAGAAAAAGAAUUACUGAGAUAAAAUAUGAUAGGAGGAAUUUUUUAAAAAUCCACAAAAUAAGAUGCAAAGGCAAUAAAACAGAUAAAAAGGGAAUACAAUGAGAAAAGUAAUGAGAAAAAAUCUGCAAGGAAUUGAAAACACGAUGAUGAAAUUGAAAUCUUCAUUGGCAGCUGUAAGCAACAGAAUUGAUCCUACGAAAAAAUUUAUCAAGGAUGGAAAGGAGAAAAUAAUGAGAAAGACAAAUUUUCCUUUGGUGGAUAGAGAUCAAAACUAAGAAAAAUACAUUUUCUGAAAGAAGAAAUCUGAAGAUUUGUAACGGAAGAAAUAACCAAGUUAUAGUUGGAAAAGUCCUAAUAUGAACCACAAAAAGACAAAACCACAAUCACUCAAAUACUUUUAAAAACUUUUCUCUGGUUUCUAUGUAAAAUCAAUGGAAAAAACUUAUACAUCUCCCAGCUUUGACUCAAAUGUUCUGUUCUCUAAGACAGGAAAAAACAGGUUAAUUAAAAAGUUGUAAGAGCGGCGUCCUCUCUGUUUGGGAGUAAAAUGGGCACUCAUGUGUAUGUGUGUGUGCAUGCGCACAGUAGGGAGCAUGAUUGGAAGAGUAGUCAGAAUUUCAGAAGAAUGCAGGUGACAUCAAAGUCCAUCACCAGAACUCCAAUGCAGGAGUCUUAGAUCAAUACUGGAGAUGAAAAGAGUAAUUUAAGCUGAUACAUUAGAAAAGUAAGCCCAUUAUGUGACAUUCAUGUGCUUUGUUCUUUUCACCUGCUGUGUUUCUUCCAUGUUUUUAGGCUACCUCUGAGAGGUUUCUUAUUAACCACUUCGCUCUAUCGUAUGACCCCCACGCACCUGUCUUUGUGAGAUUAAACUAGUGAUUGCUGCCUCUCUCCCACAUCAGCCAUUUGUAGCCCGGUGGGGGAUAGGAGGUUGCUCCAUGGUGGAUAUUGACUGACAGUUGCAGUCCUCCCAUAUGAAAUACACAGAGAAGGAAGCAAAGGGAAAAGCAGAAGCUAAAAGACAAAUAGAGAGAAUGCAGUCAGAAGAAAGCACUCAUCAACAGAGGGCACAAAGUAGCAGAAACCAUGAGAGAGAGAGAAGCAGCAGUAGAAUUGGUUGGUAAUACUAGAGUAGUCAUCUUAGGCCUGAAGGGAAGAGAGGGAAUGGCUGUCAGAACCCAGAGUAGCUCUCUGGAGAGGGGCCGCUGUCCAGAGCUGUGAUCUGCAGUGGGGGAUACAGCUAAUCAAGAGCAGACAGCAGAGAGAGAGGGAGCCUGGGGAAUACAUCCAUGGAGUCAUUCCCUCCUGCUCUGCAGUCUUCUUCUGGUGCACCCUCAGGUAGAAUGCAGCCUAAAGCCAGAGGGCAGGAGAACCAUUGAUAUAGUUUGUAUAAAUUAAGUUAGGUAGUCCCCUAGGGCCCAGGGCAGGAGGAAUUACACAAACCGAAUUACAACUCCAUACAACAUAAGCAAUGAAAAAAAAGGACUUUUAUAAUGAGGAGAAAAUAUUACAAAUAAAUUUUGAGGGAGGUAAAACAUGUUACCUACAAAGGACUGGAGGAUAGUUUCCAAUGUCCCUUAGAAACAUCUUUUUCAAGAAAUUCUUAACUUGAACAAUGCAUAGGAUUCAGGAAGCUCUUGAAUUAUAAAAUACUAUGUAAAAUUUUGCUAGUAUUUUGAAUAGAAAAAUGCUUGUUUUCUAUGUAGAGGCCCACACUUUUCAUCAAAUUAUUAAAGACGCUUGAAACCAAAAGAGGUUCAGAAUGACAGAUCAGCACAAAUUCAAGAUGGAAAGAUUACGAGCAAAGAAUUUUAUGUUAUUGAGGAUUCCUUUCAUGUAAGCUAGAAAUAGGAGGCAAUCCUAGACAUAAAAUAUUUCAGAAAUAUGUGCUUUCAGUGACCUUGGAAAAACUUGCUUCGGCCAAUCAAAACACAAACCAAGCGCAAGAAUAGGAACACAGUGAGAUAAAGGCAGACAGAGGGUAUUGAAACUGAUUAAAAAUAAGAUUAUCGUUGUAAUUAUGGUUACAAAAAUGAGAUAACUAAAAAGUAAAUAUAUAAUUUAACUUAAUUUAAUA